rnacentral:rRNA from 1 species
AUUGAACGCUGGCGGAAUGCUUUACACAUGCAAGUCGAACGGUAGAGGGGGCAACCCCUCGAGAGUGGCGAACGGGUGAGUAAUAUAUCGGAACGUGCCCAGUCGUGGGGGAUAACGUAGCGAAAGUUACGCUAAUACCGCAUACGAUCCAAGGAUGAAAGCGGGGGAUCGCAAGACCUCGCGCGAUUGGAGCGGCCGAUAUCAGAUUAGGUAGUUGGGGGGGUAAAGGCUCACCAAGCCAACGAUCUGUAGCUGGUCUGAGAGGACGACCAGCCACACUGGAACUGAGACACGGUCCAGACUCCUACGGGAGGCAGCAGUGGGGAAUUUUGGACAAUGGACGCAAGUCUGAUCCAGCCAUUCCGCGUGCAGGAUGAAGGCCCUCGGGUUGUAAACUGCUUUUGUACGGAACGAAAAGGUCUCUCUUAAUACGGGGGACUCAUGACGGUACCGUAAGAAUAAGCACCGGCUAACUACGUGCCAGCCGCCGCAGUAA